rnacentral:rRNA from 1 species
ACAAAAAGUACUAUCAAAUUAAAUAAAAUGGUAGAAAACAAAAGAAUAGCGAAGAAGAAGCAAAUGCGCUUCACGCUAAUUCCAAGUACCAACACAAAACAAUUCAAUGUUUGGUGAAGCAACUUGCUUAGUGGCGGACGGGUGAGUAACGCGUGAACAAUCUGCCCCGUACAAAGGGAUAGCCUCGGGAAACCGGGAUUAAAACCAUAUAACACUUAACUGCCGCAUGGUAGUGAAGUCAAAUCGAUUAAGAGGUAUGGGAUGAGUUCGCGUCUGAUUAGCUAGUUGGUGAGGUAAGGGCUCACCAAGGCGACGAUCAGUAGCCGGCCUGAGAGGGUGAACGGCCACACUGGAACUGAGACACGGUCCAGACUCCUACGGGAGGCAGCAGUGGGGAAUAUUGCACAAUGGAGGGAACUCUGAUGCAGCGACGCCGCGUGAGUGAAGAAGGUCUUCGGAUCGUAAAACUCUGUCCUUGGUGAAGAAAAGGACGGUAGCCAAGGAGGAAGCCCCGGCUAACUACGUG